rnacentral:hammerhead_ribozyme from 1 species
CUCACCGCUGAUGAGACCCAACCAGGUCGAAACAGCUGUCCAGCAG